rnacentral:rRNA from 1 species
GCUCUGUUGUUAGGGAAGAACAAGUACCGUUCGAAUAGGGCGGUACCUUGACGGUACCUAACCAGAAAGCCACGGCUAACUACGUGCCAGCAGCCGCGGUAAUACGUAGGUGGCAAGCGUUGUCCGGAAUUAUUGGGCGUAAAGGGCUCGCAGGCGGUUUCUUAAGUCUGAUGUGAAAGCCCCCGGCUCAACCGGGGAGGGUCAUUGGAAACUGGGGAACUUGAGUGCAGAAGAGGAGAGUGGAAUUCCACGUGUAGCGGUGAAAUGCGUAGAGAUGUGGAGGAACACCAGUGGCGAAGGCGACUCUCUGGUCUGUAACUGACGCUGAGGAGCGAAAGCGUGGGGAGCGAACAGGAUUAGAUACCCUGGUAGUCCACGCCGUAAACGAUGAGUGCUAAGUGUUAGGGGGUUUCCGCCCCUUAGUGCUGCAGCUAACGCAUUAAGCACUCCGCCUGGGGAGUACGGUCGCAAGACUGAAACUCAAAGGAAUUGACGGGGGCCCGCACAAGCGGUGGAGCAUGUGGUUUAAUUCGAAGCAACGCGAAGAACCUUACCAGGUCUUGACAUCCUCUGACAAUCCUAGAGAUAGGACGUCCCCUUCGGGGGCAGAGUGACAGGUGGUGCAUGGUUGUCGUCAGCUCGUGUYGUGAGAUGUUGGGUUAAGUCCCGCAACGAGCGCAACCCUUGAUCUUAGUUGCCAGCAUUCAGUUGGGCACUYU